AUGCUUUGGCAGCACAUAUACUAACAUUGGAACAAUACAGAGAAGAUUAGCAUGGCCCCUGCGCAAAGAUGGCACACAAAAUUUGUGAAGCAUUCCAUAUAUAA